rnacentral:rRNA from 1 species
GAUCAUGGCUCAGAUUGAACGCUGGCGGAAUGCUUUACACAUGCAAGUCGAGCGGCAGCGCGGGGCAACCUGGCGGCGAGCGGCGAACGGGUGAGUAAUGUAUCGGAACGUACCCAGUCGUGGGGGAUAACUAUCCGAAAGGAUAGCUAAUACCGCAUACGUCCUGAGGGAGAAAGCGGGGGAUCGCAAGACCUCGCGCGAUUGGAGCGGCCGAUAUCGGAUUAGCUAGUUGGUGAGGUAAAGGCUCACCAAGGCGACGAUCCGUAGCUGGUCUGAGAGGACGACCAGCCACACUGGAACUGAGACACGGUCCAGACUCCUACGGGAGGCAGCAGUGGGGAAUUUUGGACAAUGGGGGCAACCCUGAUCCAGCCAUUCCGCGUGAGUGAAGAAGGCCUUCGGGUUGUAAAGCUCUUUCGGCAGGAACGAAACGGUGGGCUCUAACAUAGCCUGCUAAUGACGGUACCUGAAGAAGAAGCACCGGCUAACUACGUG